CCUCCCCCAGGAGACAUUUUGGGCACGUCCCGGCAGCAGGUACCCGAAGAGCCAGUGUACGAGCGGCCAGAGCCUAGUCAGGCUCCUUCGGAUGGCAAGCAUGGCCCGACUUCGAGCGCCGCGAAGGGCAGCGGCCGAUUAAAACAAAAACAGUAACCUAGAAGCUCGGAGAGACUAAGAGACAAAGGUAACAAAGUAUUUUCCCCUGGGCAAUUCUUCAGAUAUUGCGUGUGUGCAUGUGUGUGUCCGCCUUGAUUGAGUCCUCAGUUGCAUCAGUGAACUCUCAGAUUCUCACUGACUUUCUCUUUGCAAGAAGAACACGUUAGUGGACAUAAUUACGUCCAUCUGUGUCAUCUCUGCGAUGUCCUCUGUCCCGGCCAGCUUUGUCAUGUUCCUGAUCUAGGGGUGUGUCAGCAAAUAGAAGCACCUGCAGUUCAUCAGUGGAGUGAAGCCUAUCAUUCUACUGGCUCUCCAAUUCUGUCUAGGACAUGGUUUCCAUUUCUAACAGGAACAGCCGGCAAACAAAGGACCCAAAGUGAUAUGUGAGAUUUUUGACGGGAAAAAAGAUGAAGAAGGUGGUUUUAUUGUUCCUGAAUAUCCAGGUAAACACUUGAAAAUCAGUCUACCUUCUGGUCAGAAGUAUGGAGCAGGUAGAAAAAAAGAAACCAGGGAACAAGUAGAUUUGAGAAGUAAAAGGAAAAAAAGUACAAAGCAACUAAAGAAUUAUAAACAACAUAGAGGCAGAUAACCAAGAUGUGACACUGUUCUAGGAGCCACUAAGUUCAUGUAGCCAGCGCUGAAGGCUGAGGGGAGGUCCAGGUGGAUAGGAUCCAAAUAAGACAUUUCAAAUCUCUUGUCAUCUAAGAUACAUUAUGAAGUUGGGAUUAUGGGGGAAAGAAAACUUAAAUUAGUUUAUGCUUUCAAAAAGUCUGCCUUUGGUUUAAAAUUGGGUUGAGGUAAAUAUUUCCCUUAAGUCAGUAAGAAAGUGAAAUCAGCAAGAAGAUAAAUCUUUAAUAAUUAUUUUCAAACUGAGGAAUAAGAGGAAAACAAGUUAAACUACAGUAAUUCAGCUUAACAGUUUAAAUUAAUCCAUCCCCCCCAGUUUUACAAGCAAAGAUGCACUUACUGUUUUUAGAUUAACUGUAAUUUGUGUAAAAAAAAAUACUAAGUUAUGAGAAAAUAUCAUACCUUUCCCUUUACCUACCUAUACAUGUGUUCUGUGUUCUAGAUCCCCAACUUCUCAACCUUUCUUCCCAUGUAAACUUUUCAUAUUCAUACCUAAACUUUAACAGUUUUUCCAAAUUGGAAAAAAAUUCAUUAUUUAAUGCUCAUUGUUUUAACUGUAAGCAAAGAGCUCAAAUUCAUUUUUAUCUCUAUAAUCACAAUAUAUUCCGAUAUAAAAACAAAGGAUUACUUUCUCCUACAGAACUUUAGUUUUUAUAGCUUAAAAUCUUCAGUAUGUUCUUCAUUAAAAUUCAGUGUAAUUUAGAGAGACAAACUUACCUUCUUUGGGUGGUUUUUCUAAUUUGCACCAUGGCACCAGAUAAGUAACUUCACUCUCUUGUUUAUCAGUGAGACCCAUAAUUGGAAUGAGUAAUUGUUCUCGCCAUUCCUUAUCAUUGGCCAAGGCUUUCCGAACUUCAGUUUGAUGAGCAAAAUUGUCUAUGGGAAUAACAGGAGUAAGAAAAAUAAAACUUUUUGAUUUAAAAUCACCUGUACACCUUUAACAUAUAUAAUAUUGUAUAUCAACUGUACAUCAAUAAAAAAAUAAAAUCA